AAAGCCAUUACGAAUGACAAGUACACGCAAGAAUGACUCGAUCGAGUCCCGAGAGACAGAAAGAUUGACUAGACAGAAUGGCCAAUGACAGAAACAAGGAACAAGGAAGCUUGACUGAGCAAAGAAGUCAAGGAACGAAGCUGCUUCUAUAAUAGCCCCGUUGAAUAGGAGGGCGAAGGCUUUUUGAAAAAGUCUUUUUUGUCUUGUAAAUGAAAUGCAUUUUUUUUUUCGAAUUUCUAUUUAGAGAGAGGGGGCUUCAAGUUCUUAGGAAGAGCCGUACGAGGCAGCUCACGUACGGUUCGGGAGCCGAGCCCCAGCACAGGGGCUUAGGUCAACACUUAUAUAAUAGCCAGUCAUCAAUUGGAAACGUCAUGAUCGGGAGAACUCACAAUGCCCAGAUAUUCUUUCUUGGACAUC
rnacentral:lncRNA from 1 species